rfam:Synechococcus sp. Tous Synechococcus-sp-Tous-C20, whole genome shotgun sequence.
GCCCGGUUAGCUCAGCGGUAGAGCGCCUGCCUUACAAGCAGGAUGUCGCUGGUUCGAAACCGGCACCGGGCA